ensembl:lincRNA
AUAGAUGAUUAAUUGCUGUGUGCAUCAUUCUUACCCUUUAGCUUUAUUUUCAGCUCGAUCAGAUGUCCUCACCCUGCAAUCCGGACAUAAUCUGUCUCUCCCUCUUCACACUGCUUAUCCAGUGGAGGUGCUGUUUGAUCUUGCAGGAUCUGCUGAGUCUCACAGAGUCAUACUGAGCAACGCAGGUCUCCCUGGCCCUGGGUAUGAGCAGAGAGUGUCUGUGCAGGACAGCUCUCUGAUACUGUGCUCUCUCACACCAGCUGAUCAGGGAAACUACACAGUGAGGGACCUUCAAGGAAACCCCAUCAGCACAGUUGCCCUCACUGUGAAAGAGGUUAUGACCACAUCAUGGACUCAAAUUGUUGCAGUCAUCACCAUGGCAGUGAUCAUGCUUGUUGUACUCGGUGCUGUUCUCUCCACAAAAUGGCUCAAGAAAAGAGAUACGGUACUUUGGACAAAACAUUUAAAAAUCAAGGAAAGAGCUGAGCCUCAGGGUACAAGCUGAGAUGUGGAACCACCCUUACACUCUCAUGCCACCCAAUGGUAGCUUCUUGAUCCUGAAUUGACAUUCUCUAGGUAAUAGUGCCUCUGGACCACUGGAACUGGAACUCUGCAGCUGCACAUGAUUUUAAACACUGCAGUUUACACUGUGUUGCAUUUUCAUUGGGGACAACAUUUAGUACCGCUCUACAUUCUAAGAAUCAUUGUCAGGACUUAGCUUUUUAUUGCAAUAUCUUUUUAAACUAUUUUUUUUAAAUUGUAAUAAAACUUAAUCUCAGCCACUGUGUGUAUUCUACUGGCCUUUCCAUGAUGGUGUUGCUGCAGAACUACAAAGAAUGGGUAUCAUUGAAAGGACUAAGCCAGGUGUUUGCCAGGAACUACUCUGAGCAGUUAACAAAACUGUUAUACCAGACACCUCAGGUACUUUCUUUGGCUCCACUGAUUUCACAAAACCCAGCCUCCAACAGAGUUAUCUUCAAAUCUCUCACCACCAUGACAACUGGAACCUCGCAGCUGUCGUCACACUCCUUGUGUCCCCUGCUACACCAGGGUGUCCUUUGGGCUGAGCUCCUCCCCCAGCUGUUUCCAGAAGGCUGCCAUCUGUGUGGGAAUCCCACGGGUGGUCAUCUACCUUGACAACAUUGCGCUCCAUAGGACAAUAGCUGUCAGUGAUGAUGAGCACUACCGUGGAGCGUUUGAGGAGUGGUGAGAAAUAUGUUUUUGCUGCUGUCAGGUUUGUGGGUUUUUGAUUAACAUUAGCCAGCCUCACCCCACUGCAGCCCAACAUUGAGGCCAUUUAGCACAUCUGGAAACUACCACACCUGCUUAAGUCACUUUCUUCCUCUGGAUGACUGCUUAUUACCAGAGGUUUACCCCAAUACUCAGCUACUACAGUACAUCCUCACCAGGCCAGCUGCAGGUCUGGACACCUGUCUGCUCUGAAGCUGUCCUUCUCCUGAAGGAUUAGCUCACCUGGCUGUCCAUCAUGUUGUACUUUAACUUCUCCAGCCCAUGCUUUAUCACCUGCGAUGCCUCCUUUCCCAGGCCAAGUGACUGGGUAUGGCUUCAUUAACAAACACUCUGAAGCACCAAAGUGCAAAGAAAACUAAUUUAUUUCUUUCCUACAGUGUUUGCCAAAUAGAAUUCAAACCAAAGCCCACAGGAGCUCUUCACAGCCCACUUUCCCUCCCAGGCACCAUCCCCCUACUGAGCUCUCCCAGUCCCUCUUAAAGGCCCUCUUUUUCCAGGGUCAUCCUUCCUUAAAGAGACAUGCUUGUAUUUCUUGUAGUGGUGGAAUCAUUUUUAAACAAAUAAAAAAUGUAUACAAAUCCAAAGAUAAA